rnacentral:tRNA from 1 species
GUGGCCCAGUGGGUAGGGCGCUGGCCCCAGAUGCCAAGGGUGGUAGGUUCGAACCCUGCC